GAUGAAGAACGUAGUGAAAUGCGAUAAGUAAUGUGAAUUGCAGAAUUCAGUGAAUCAUCGAAUAUUUGAACGCACAUUGCGCCCGCCAGUAUUCUGGCGGGCAUGCCUGUUCGAGCGUCAUUACAACCCUCAGGCCCCCGGGCCUGGCGUUGGGGAUCGGCGGAGCCCCCCGUGGGCACACGCCGUCCCCCAAAUGCAGUGGCGGUCCCGCCGCAGCUUCCAUCGCGUAGUAGCUAACACCUCGCGACUGGAGAGCGGCGCGGCCACGCCGUAAAACACCCAACUCUUCUGAAGUUGACCUCGAAUCAGGUAGGAAUACCCGCUGAACUUAAGCAUAUCAAUAAGCGGAGGA
rnacentral:misc_RNA from 1 species